GGUUAAGCGACUAAGCGUACACGGUGGAUGCCCUGGCAGUCAGAGGCGAUGAAGGACGUGCUAAUCUGCGAUAAGCGUCGGUAAGGUGAUAUGAACCGUUAUAACCGGCGAUUUCCGAAUGGGGAAACCCAGUGUGUUUCGACACACUAUCAUUAACUGAAUCCAUAGGUUAAUGAGGCGAACCGGGGGAACUGAAACAUCUAAGUACCCCGAGGAAAAGAAAUCAACCGAGAUUCCCCCAGUAGCGGCGAGCGAACGGGGAGCAGCCCAGAGCCUGAAUCAGUGUGUGUGUUAGUGGAAGCGUCUGGAAAGGCGCGCGAUACAGGGUGACAGCCCCGUACACAAAAAUGCACAUGCUGUGAGCUCGAUGAGUAGGGCGGGACACGUGGUAUCCUGUCUGAAUAUGGGGGGACCAUCCUCCAAGGCUAAAUACUCCUGACUGACCGAUAGUGAACCAGUACCGUGAGG
rnacentral:rRNA from 2 species